rnacentral:snoRNA from 1 species
UGGACCAGUGACAGGAGUGUGUCAUGAUCCAUGGAUUCUGAUUAAAUGAAGUCUGUGUACCUGAAAUCCAAA